GGAGUUAGCCGGUGCUUCUUCUGUGAGUGAUGUCCUUCCUGCCGGUUAUUGACCCGCAGGCCUUCUUCCUCACUGAAAGUGCUUUACAACCCGAAGGCCUUCUUCACACACGCGGCAUGGCUGGAUCAGGGUUGCCCCCAUUGUCCAAUAUUCCCCACUGCUGCCUCCCGUAGGAGUCUGGGCCGUGUCUCAGUCCCAGUGUGGCUGAUCAUCCUCUCAGACCAGCUACGGAUCGUCGCCUUGGUGAGCCGUUACCUCACCAACCAGCUAAUCCGACAUAGGCUCAUCCGAUAGCGCGAGGCCCGAAGGUCCCCCGCUUUCCCCCGUAGGGCGUAUGCGGUAUUAGCCUGGGUUUCCCCAGGGUUAUCCCCCACUACCGGGCAGAUUCCUAUGCAUUACUCACCCGUCCGCCGCUCGCCACCAGGGAGCAAGCUCCCCGUGCUGCCGCUCGACUUGCAUGUGUUAGGCCUGCCGCCAGCGUUCAAUCUGAGCCAUAAUCAAACUCUGA
rnacentral:rRNA from 1 species